rnacentral:rRNA from 1 species
UGGGGAAUAUUGCACAAUGGAGGGAACUCUGAUGCAGCGACGCCGCGUGAGUGAUGAAGGAAUUCGUUUCGUAAAACUCUGUUCUAUGGGAAGAAAAGGACUGUACCAUAGGAGAAAGCUCCGGCUAAAUACGUGCCAGCAGCCGCGGUAAUACGUAUGGAGCGAGCGUUGUCCGGAAUUAUUGGGCGUAAAGGGUGCGCAGGCGGCUUUACAAGUUGGAUGUGAAAUAUUGUGGCUCAACCACAAACGUGCAUCCAAAACUGCAAAGCUUGAGUUAAGGAGAGGUAAGUGGAAUUCCUGGUGUAGCGGUGGAAUGCGUAGAUAUCAGGAGGAAUACCGGUGGCGAAGGCGGGUCUCUGGGCUGUUACUGACGCUGAGGAGCGAAAGCGUGGGGAGCGAACAGG